UUAAGGAGUUGCGACUGGCGAUGAGGUGGGACACCACCGGGGAGCAGCACGAGCGAAGACUUUGCGAUCGUACGCCUGGGACGCAAGG
rnacentral:ncRNA from 2 species